rnacentral:tRNA from 2 species
GCCUCUGUGGUGUAGUUGGUUAUCACGUGAGUCUCAUAAUCUCAAGGUCGCCAGUUCGAUCCUGGCCGGAGGCA